rnacentral:rRNA from 1 species
GAUGAACGCUGGCGGCGUGCCUAAUACAUGCAAGUCGAGCGAACGGACGAGAAGCUUGCUUUUCUGAUGUUAGCGGCGGACGGGUGAGUAACACGUGGAUAACCUACCUAUAAGACUGGGAUAACUUCGGGAAACAGGAGCUAAUAACGGAUAAUAUUUUGAACGGCAUGGUUCAAAAGUGAAAGACGGUCUUGCUGUCACUUAUAGCUGGAUCCGCGUUGCAUUAGCUAGUUGGUAAGGUAACGGCUUACCAAGGCAACGAUGCAUAGCCGACCUGAGAGGAUGAUCGGCCACACUGGAACUGAGACACGGUCCAGACUCCUACGGGAGGCAGCAGUAGGGAAUCUUCCGCAAUGGGCGAAAGCCUGACGGAGCAACGCCGCGUGAGUGAUGAAGGUCUUCGGAUCGUAAAACUCUGUUAUUAGGGAAGAACAUAUGUGUAAGAAACUGUGCACAUCUUGACGGUACCUAAUCAGAAAGCCACGGCUAACUACGUG